rnacentral:rRNA from 1 species
AACGAACGCUGGCGGCGUGGAUAAGACAUGCAAGUCGAACGAGAGAAUUGCUAGCUUGCUAAUAAUUCUCUAGUGGCGCACGGGUGAGUAACACGUGAGUAACCUGCCCCCGAGAGCGGGAUAGCCCUGGGAAACUGGGAUUAAUACCGCAUAGUAUCGAAAGAUUAAAGCAGCAAUGCGCUUGGGGAUGGGCUCGCGGCCUAUUAGUUAGUUGGUGAGGUAACGGCUCACCAAGGCGAUGACGGGGUAGCCGGUCUGAGAGGAUGUCCGGCCACACUGGAACUGAGACACGGUCCAGACACCUACGGGUGGCAGCAGUCGAGAAUCAUUCACAAUGGGGGAAACCCUGACGGUGCGACGCCGCGUGGGGGAAUGAAGGUCUUCGGAUUGUAAACCCCUGUCAUGUGGGAGCAAAUUAAAAAGAUAGUACCACAAGAGGAAGAGACGGCUAACUCUGUGCCAGCAGCCGCGGUAAUACAGAGGUCUCAAGCGUUGUUCGGAAUCACUGGGCGUAAAGCGUGCGUAGGCUGUUUCGUAAGUCGUGUGUGAAAGGCGCGGGCUCAACCCGCGGACGGCACAUGAUACUGCGAGACUAGAGUAAUGGAGGGGGAACCGGAAUUCUCGGUGUAGCAGUGAAAUGCGUAGAUAUCGAGAGGAACACUCGUGGCGAAGGCGGGUUCCUGGACAUUAACUGACGCUGAGGCACGAAGGCCAGGGGAGCGAAA